rnacentral:rRNA from 1 species
CACCGCGGUUAUACGAGAGGCUCAAAUUGAUAUCCUUCGGCGUAAAGUGUGACUAGAGAAAAUAAUGAAACUAAAGCCAAACAUCUCCCCAGCUGUCAUACGCUAACGGAGCCAGAAGCCCCACAACGAAAGUGGCUUUAAUAAUUCUUGAACUCACGACCAUUAAGAUA